UGAGGGAAUAUUUGGGGUCAAUGGGCGGAAGCCUGAACCAGCCAAGUAGCGUGAGGGAUGACUGCCCUAUGGGUUGUAAACCUCUUUUAUAAGGGAAUAAAAUACGGGACGUGUCCUGUUUUGCAUGUACCUUAUGAAUAAGGACCGGCUAAUUCCGUGCCAGCAGCCGCGGUAAUACGGAAGGUCCAGGCGUUAUCCGGAUUUAUUGGGUUUAAAGGGAGCGUAGGCCGUCGUUUAAGCGUGUUGUGAAAUGCCGCGGCUCAACCGUGGCACUGCAGCGCGAACUGGAUGACUUGAGUUCGCGGGAGGUAGGCGGAAUUCGUGGUGUAGCGGUGAAAUGCUUAGAUAUCACGAAGAACUCCGAUUGCGAAGGCAGCUUACCGUAGCGUUACUGACGCUGAAGCUCAAAAGUGCGGGUAUCGAACAGGAUUAGAUACCCUGGUAGU
rnacentral:rRNA from 1 species